UACGAAGGGGGCUAGCGUUGCUCGGAAUCACUGGGCGUAAAGGGUGCGUAGGCGGGUUUUUAAGUCAGGGGUGAAAUCCUGGAGCUCAACUCCAGAACUGCCUUUGAUACUGAGGGUCUUGAGUAUGACAGAGGUGAGUGGAACUGCGAGUGUAGAGGUGAAAUUCGUAGAUAUUCGCAAGAACACCAGUGGCGAAGGCGGCUCACUGGGUCAUUACUGACGCUGAGGCACGAAAGCGUGGGGAGCAAACAGG
rnacentral:rRNA from 1 species